AAGGAGCUGAGGACGGAGAAGGA
rnacentral:miRNA from 1 species